rfam:Limnobacter sp. MED105 1103186003312, whole genome shotgun sequence.
GGGGUCGAUCUGGUUUCGACGUGGGUUGCAAAGCUAUUGGGGCGUGUCGAGGAUCAGUUACCUCGUAAAUCCAUCUGAAAAACUUUAAACGCAAACGACUCUUCGUUUAGCCCCGAACUCAAACUGGCCGCUUAAGCCAGUUUAGUUUGGACUUCCUACACCAGCUCGCCGAUGGGCUGGGCGGGGUCAAACCCGCGGUGGGAUCAUCUACAUCGGACCGCUUACCGGAAUGCUGCCGGCCGGUAAGUUAAAUUAGGUGGAUCGCGGAUGCUGAAGAAUGUCGCUUUUCGUCAGUAGCCGUUAAACACAAACAAGACGACUACACACGUAGAACUGGUAGUGGAGGAUUUGCGGACGCGGGUUCAAUUCCCGCCGGCUCCACCA